AUUGAACGCUGGCGGCAGGCCUUAACACAUGCAAGUCGAACGGUAACAGGAAGAAGCUUGCUUCUUUGCUGACGAGUGGCGGACGGGUGAGUAAUGUCUGGGAAACUGCCUGAUGGAGGGGGAUAACUACUGGAAACGGUAGCUAAUACCGCAUAACGUCGCAAGACCAAAGAGGGGGACCUUCGGGCCUCUUGCCAUCGGAUGUGCCCAGAUGGGAUUAGCUAGUAGGUGGGGUAACGGCUCACCUAGGCGACGAUCCCUAGCUGGUCUGAGAGGAUGACCAGCCACACUGGAACUGAGACACGGUCCAGACUCCUACGGGAGGCAGCAGUGGGGAAUAUUGCACAAUGGGCGCAAGCCUGAUGCAGCCAUGCCGCGUGUAUGAAGAAGGCCUUCGGGUUGUAAAGUACUUUCAGCGGGGAGGAAGGGAGUAAAGUUAAUACCUUUGCUCAUUGACGUUACCCGCAGAAGAAGCACCGGCUAACUCCGUGCCAGCAGCCGCGGUAAUACGGAGGGUGCAAGCGUUAAUCGGAAUUACUGGGCGUAAAGCGCACGCAGGCGGUUUGUUAAGUCAGAUGUGAAAUCCCCGGGCUCAACCUGGGAACUGCAUCUGAUACUGGCAAGCUUGAGUCUCGUAGAGGGGGGUAGAAUUCCAGGUGUAGCGGUGAAAUGCGUAG
rnacentral:rRNA from 1 species